rnacentral:tRNA from 1 species
GGGCCGGUAGCUCAGUUGGCAGAGCAGGGGACUUUUAAUCCCAAGGUCGUAGGUUCGAGCCCUACCCGGCCCA